rnacentral:rRNA from 1 species
GAUGAACGCUGGCGGCAUGCCUAACACAUGCCAGUCGGGCGGGAAACCCGGGAGACGGUGCUUCUAGCGUCGGCCGGGGGAGUAACGCGAAAACACCUGCCCCUUGCAUAUGAGCAACAGCUGACAACGGCAGCUAAUACCCCGUAGGCUGAGGAAUAAAAGAAGGAAUCCGUCAGAGGUGGGGGACGGGUUUGAUUAGCUAGUUGGUGAGGUACUAGCUUACCAAGGCGAUGAUCAGUAGCUAGUCGGAGCGGAUGAUCGGCCACACUGGGACCGGGACACGGCCCAGGCUCCUACGGGAGGCGGCAGUGGGGAAGUUGCCGCAAUGGGCGAAAGCCUAACGAGGCAAUGCCGCGUGGAGGUAGAGGGCCCACGGGUCGUGAACCUCUUUUCCCGGAGAAGAAGCAAUGACGGUAUCUGGGGAAUAAGCAUCGGCUAACUCUGUG